AUUGAACGCUGGCGGCGUGCUUAACACAUGCAAGUCGAUCGGUAACAGGUGUAGCAAUACAUGCUGACGAGAGGCGGACGGGUGAGUAAUGCUUGGGGAAUCUGCCUAUUAGUGGGGGACAACCCGGGGAAACUCGGGCUAAUACCGCAUACGCUCUACGGAGGAAAGCCGGGGACCGCAAGGCCUGGCGCUAAUAGAUGAGCCCAAGUCGGAUUAGCUAGUUGGUAGGUAACGGCCUACCAAGGCGACAAUCCGUAGCUGGUCUGAGAGGACGACCAGCCACACCGGAACUGAGACAUGGUCCGGACUCCUACGGGAGGCAGCAGUGGGGAAUAUUGGACAAGUGGGGGCAACCCUGAUCCAGCGACGCCGCGUGGGUGAAGAAGGCCUGCGGGUUGU
rnacentral:rRNA from 1 species